GGCCAUUUUAACUCACAGACACUGUUUGGACUUUUCAACACGGUGCCAUCUUGCCAGUAUUUGGUGCACAGAGACAUCGUGCAGUGGUUUUGGACUAUACAGCAGGGGACACAUUAUAUAGUGAUUGUUUUUCAUUUCGCCUGUAUGUGUUCUGCAGAAUCUGCAUUAAACUGUAUUUUCCAAGGUACUGAACGGAUCUGGGUGAAUUUUGGAUAUGUGGUUCACCCAGAUCCCCCGGUUCCAAGGAUAUACUUUUUAUGGAGUUAUUGCAUGUUUUGGGGUCCCUGUGUGUUUUAUGAAACUGUAUUAUUUCUGGCCAGCAGAUAAUUGAGCUUUGUGUAUUGUAGAAACUCAAUUAUCUAGCCUGGCCCAGAGGAGGAGUUUUGUGUUGCAUAAAUUGUGAGUUCUGUGUGCCAG